rnacentral:rRNA from 1 species
AACGAACGCUGGCGGCAUGCCUAACACAUGCAAGUCGAACGAGACCUUCGGGUCUAGUGGCGCACGGGUGCGUAACGCGUUGGAACCUGCCCUUAGGUUCGGAAUAACUCCCCGAAAUGGGUGCUAAUACCGGAUAAUGUCUUCGGACCAAAGAUUUAUCGCCUUUGGAUGGGCCCGCGUUGGAUUAGCUAGUUGGUAGGGUAAAAGCCUACCAAGGCGACGAUCCAUAGCUGGUCUGAGAGGAUGAUCAGCCACACUGGGACUGAGACACGGACCAGACUCCUACGGGAGGCAGCAGUGGGGAAUAUUGGACAAUGGGCGAAAGCCUGAUCCAGCAAUGCCGCGUGAGUGAUGAAGGCCUUAGGGUUGUAAAGCUCUUUUACCCGGGAUGAUAAUGACAGUACCGGGAGAAUAAGCUCCGGCUAACUCCGUG